GCAAAAGUCACCAUGAGUUUAAUCAAGACAAAUUGCUAUAGUAUAAUCUACACACUUGUAUAUUAAUAUAAUUACAUAAAAUCACUAUCUUUUAAUAGAUAAAUAUGUGAUACUAACUAUGCCUAUCAACUAUGGCGUGCCUGCAUGCUCAUCGAUUUUAUAUCUUGGAUCAAAUGCUCUAAAGAACAAGAAGAAGAUCCACCUACUGUCACACUCUUUCUUGCUAACUCUGCCAUCCUA
rnacentral:misc_RNA from 1 species